rnacentral:rRNA from 1 species
UGGGGAAUUUUGGGCAAUGGGCGAAAGCCUGACCCAGCAACGCCGCGUGAAGGAUGAAGUAUUUCGGUAUGUAAACUUCGAAAGAAUAGGAAGAAUAAAUGACGGUACUAUUUAUAAGGUCCGGCUAACUACGUGUCAGCAGCCGCGGUAAUACGUAGGGACCAAGCGUUGUUCGGAUUUACUGGGCGUAAAGGGCGCGUAGGCGGCAAUUCAAGUCAUCUGUGAAAUCUCCGGGCUUAACUCGGAACGGUCAGAUGAUACUGCUUUGCUAGAGUGCAGAAGGGGCAAUCGGAAUUCUUGGUGUAGCGGUGAAAUGCGUAGAUAUCAAGAGGAACACCUGAGGUGAAGACGGGUUGCUGGGCUGACACUGACGCUGAGGCGCGAAAGCCAGGGGAGCAAACGGGAUUAGAUACCCCUGUAGUCCCUGAGCGGGCUGGCAAGGCGCAU